AUACGGAGGGUGCAAGCGUUAAUCGGAAUUACUGGGCGUAAAGCGCGCGUAGGUGGUUAGUUAAGUUGGAUGUGAAAGCCCUGGGCUCAACCUGGGAAUGGCAUUCAAAACUGGCUGACUAGAGUAUGGUAGAGGGAAGGGGAAUUCCAGGUGUAGCGGUGAAAUGCGUAGAUAUCUGGAGGAACAUCAGUGGCGAAGGCGCCUUCCUGGACUAAUACUGACACUGAGGUGCGAAAGCGUGGGUAGCAAACAGGAUUAGAUACCCUAGUAGUCC
rnacentral:rRNA from 1 species